CCAGACUCCUACGGGAGGCAGCAGUGGGGGAUAUUGCACAAUGGGGGGAACCCUGAUGCAGCGACGCCGCGUGAGCGAAGAAGUAUUUCGGUAUGUAAAGCUCUAUCAGCAGGGAAGAAAAUGACGGUACCUGACUAAGAAGCUCCGGCUAAAUACGUGCCAGCAGCCGCGGUAAUACGUAUGGAGCAAGCGUUAUCCGGAAUUACUGGGUGUAAAGGGAGCGUAGGCGGCAAGGCAAGUCUGAUGUGAAAACCCAGGGCCCAACCCUGGGACUGCAUUGGAAACUGUAUUGCUUGAGUACCGGAGAGGCAGGCGGAAUUCCUUGUGUAGCGGUGAAAUGCGUAGAUAUAAGGAAGAACACCAGUGGCGAAGGCGGAUGACUGGACGGCAACUGACGGUGAGGCGCGAAAGCGUGGGGAGCAAACAGGAUUAGAUACCCCAGUAU
rnacentral:rRNA from 1 species